ACUUAAAGACAAUAACUUAUAUGAUCCUUGGAACCAUGCAUGGCCGUAUUAUGGGGGUUUUGAUUGCACGUACUGCAGCCUAAAGCACAAAGGUGGAGGUGCAACCCGUGUCGCGGAGCACCUUGGUGGUAUUGUAGGUAAUGUGAGGAGCUGCCCCAAUGUGCCAAGAAAUGUGAGAGAUGCAAUGAGAGAGUGCCGGGAUGAAUCAAGGAGGAAGAAAAGAGACAAACAAAAUAGCAGGCUGAGAAUUGAAAGAAAUAUUAUGGAAGGGUUGUAUAAAAAAGGAGGGGUGGUUAACGUACCAGAUGAUGAUGAAGAAGAAAUUCAGAUGAAUAUUAGAGAAGCAUUGCGUGACCCGAAUGUCUCUCGCAGAAUUGAAAGGAGAAUUGGCAAGGGGGGUGUGGGUGAUGUGCAUGUUUCUGUUGGUAAAAGGAGUAUCAGCGCCUAUUUUGACAGGCAAUUAUCUAGCAACAAAGUAUCUAUGCAGCCCAAGAUCAGUAGUGCUUUGGAUCCUAAUUCAAGAGAUGCACUUGGUCUAGCUUGGUCCAAGUUUUUUCAUGCCAAUGAUAUUGCUGGACGUAAAGCUGAUUGCCCAUACUUUCGAGCUGCUGUGAAGAUCACUCAACAAUUAGGGCCUAUUCCUAUGCAAUGGAAGAAGAUACAUUUAUGGUUGCAGGUAGUGAUAAAUGAUUCGGCCUUCGCAAUUUAUGUUUCUCUUUUUUUUGUUCUUUAACUCAUGUGGCUCUAUUGUUUUUCAGCUGCUGUCCUUGACCCAUAUACACAUUACAAGCUGAACCUUUGCAACCACACAGAUUAUGCCACUUCACUAACAGAUGCGAUAGCGAAGAUAUUAGACCCAGUGAGUGCUCUUUCAGCCAUUGAUGAAGUGAGCAAGUUCAGGGAGUGCCAAGGGAGGUUUGGGACCAGAUUGGCAGAAGAAGCUGCGGCGAGAAUGGGGCCAAGUAAGUUAUGGUGUUUUAGUUUUAGAAUUUCCAUUUCCUUUUGGUUUGCAUUCCUGAAAAUUUCAUUGGUGUUAUCUUGCAGCCCAAUGGUGGUUUCAGUUUGGAGGGGAUGUUCCUGCAUUGCAGAAAUGUGCAAUGAGAAUUUGCUCACAAUGUGUCUCCUCUAGUGGGUGUGAGAGAAAUUGGAGUGCUUUUGCUUUGGUGCACACAAAGCAAAGAAGUCGUCUUCUAUAUGACAAGCUCCACAAGCUAGUUUUUGUACGCUACAACUUAAAGGUAUAAACCAUCACUUUUACUUUCUACUUUGUGUUGUCCUUGCAUGUCAUAUAAUUUACUUGUUUACUAUUCAAACCUUGAAGAUACGUGCUGAAGAAGAUCAAGAGAAAGAGAGAGAUAUAGAUAAAGAAAUUGAUCCAAGUGCAUUGCUAAUGGAUACCACAAUGUUUGAUGAAACAAACCCAAUAAUGGAGUGGCUGAAUGAGGAUGUAGAGGAUCCGAUUGUGGAUGGAGCUGAU
rnacentral:lncRNA from 1 species